GUGAAUCAUCAAAUCUUUGAACGCAAAUUGCACUCUCUUCUAAUAGUAUGCCUAUUUGAGGUUCAGCCUAAAAAAAAUCUACAUAAUUCCUGUUACGCGAUAACAUUACUCGGAAAUUUGAUCAUCUUAAACCUUUGAUUUUAGUCGGCUUAAAAUCUUCUUUACCAUUCCAAGAACGUUUCUAAGAUUUUAUUUUCUUAUACGUUUAAGGUAUCGAUCUUUAUUAUACGUCUCCGUUCCAUCAAACCUCGUCC
rnacentral:misc_RNA from 1 species